rnacentral:ncRNA from 1 species
CUCUAAUACAAAUUCUAGAUUAUAUGUUUUAAGGAAUAUAUACAAUGAAGGUAUUAGUAUUAAAGAAAUCUAUUCCUUCCAUAAAAGGUAAAAAAGUAUCAGUAAAAUAUAUAUUAGUAAGAUAAAACAUCUAAAAAU